GCAUGUACGAUCUCCAAGAUUCAGCAAGACCAGUCCACACUAGUGCACUCUAUAAUAAAAUUAUGGAAUCUUUAACAAUAAAAUACAAGGGAAAAGUAUUAAAUAAUACACUGAUGCAGAAAAUAUAUACAAGAGUAGUUUCUUAAUUGCAUUGGACAGUAGUGCACGAAUUGAGAAAUAGUUCGACCUGUUUAUCAAGAUUCGCCAAGGGCACGUACGAGGCCGCAGCCCGCGGCGUGUCACGUCGGAGAAUACUUUCUGCAACUUCCGGUCCUUCCUACAUCAUGCAUUGCAUGCAGUAAGGCUGAUGUUAAUAAACGUUAAUGACCAAAUAAUCAGCAACUAAAAUAUAUGUCGUUAGUAAAUUGAUUAUGUGAUAAAGUGACAGCAGAUUUGAGAAAUUUUACUUAUAAUAUUUGUUUUUUAGAGAAUGUGCUUGAUUAAAUGUCGCAAAUAAUUAUUUUAAUCGAAAAUUAUGGAUAAUACAAAGUAUUAUAUUUGGUGAGCUUAAUUACUUAUACAUAUAUAUUAAAUCAACCAUGCAUCAUGAAAUGACCAUGGAUUACUGAAUCAUAACUUCAACAAAAAGGAUUGCAUCAUAUUUAGGAAUGAAUGCUUUGUUCAACAUAGUAUUAACAUUGCGGGAUUUGAAAUCAAAGAGACGUGAAUCGUUUAAAUGUAAUUGGCACUAUGCAAAUGAAAUGACUCGAUUCUGAUCAGAAUCGUUUUGAAAAUGUUAAUGCACACAUUUAUUGCAUGCUGUACAAACACUGGCGAUAUCCCUGUAAAAAGAUGUGGAAGUAUAAUUAUGUACACAAAUAUAUUAAGCUGAACCUAAA